UCGGACUGUAGUCUGNAACCCGACUACACGAAGCUGGAAUCGCUAGUAAUCGCGAAUCAGAAUGUCGCGGUGAAUACGUUCCCGGGUCUUGUACACACCGCCCGUCACACCAUGGGAGUCGGGAAUGCCCGAAGUCAGUGACCCAACCUAUUGGAGGGAGCUGCCGAAGGCAGGUCUGAUAACUGGGGUGAAGUCGUAACAAGGUACC
rnacentral:rRNA from 1 species